rnacentral:lncRNA from 1 species
AGAGGAUCUGUGGAAAACCAUAAAGAUAAACAAGCUAACAUUUGACGGCGUGAAGUUAUGCGACCGUUGCAAGGUAAAAUUCCCAGAUCUGGUGCUGCGGUUGAGUAUGCUUGCUACUAUCCUAUCUUGAAACUUAAUUUCUGCAGUCAUUUUCUGAAAAGAAACAUGAUACUAACAGAUAGCAAAUUGCUUGCUUCUUUUCUUUCCAUCCUUUCCAUAGCUACAUAAGCAACAGGCUAAAGUCUUGGGGUGUGAAAAAUCCUCCUUUGCUGCAUAUUUAACAUACUUACAGUUACUUGAGUGCAAGUGAGUAACUGAUAUAUCAGUUGGGUUAGUGCUGGCCUCCUGAGGUAAAUCUUCAUGACAUUGAGGACUAACACAGGGCAUGCAAGUAACAACGGGUGAAUAAUGGGGACAGUUCUUAUAAAGCUGAUACUUAUGAACUUGUUCAUUAGUUUCAUAUAAACUUUACACCAUCAUAAUUCAGUAGUGUGAUGUGCAAACUAAACAUUCACAAGGCAGUAUAAAUAGGAGUAUAUACUCAAAAUUCAUUUCCAUUAUAAUCUUACUCAUACAAUAUUCACACCAUGUAAUUCUGGAAAUAUAUGCUCAUAUCUAGUUCUGCAUAAAAAAUGACAGUAUUGACAUGUUAUAAAUAGUUUGUUUGUCUUUCUGUUUACUUUGUUACAUUUUGCAGGGAUAAAGUGAAGAAAAAGAAGAAAAGAUUACUAGAAGAUUAGUUUUAGGAUUUUCCUUUAUUUCCUUGCAAUUUUCCUUUUAUUGGAAACUUGUAAAGACAUUGUAAUAUUCUUACUAUAAUAAAAAUUAUGAUUC